GUCUCUUCUCGCCUGGAAACUGGGGUUUUUGAAAGUUUAACAGAUAAAAUUAUGUGAUGCCAGUAUUUUGUUCAACAGGCAGAAGAAAUUGUAAAGCUGAGGAUUAACUAAGUUAAAAUCUUCACUUAAAAGUGGUAACUAGUUGAAGAUUUUAACACUGCACAGCAUUUCUCCCCUUUUUGAGGUCUUUGGAAGCAAACGCUGACUUUGAAAAAGUUGAUAUGGGACUGGACCUGACAACGCUCCCAUAAAACUGCAAUUACAUAUGUGCAUACCACUCUGGAACUCCAGAACGAGGUUGGAAAUGUUACAGAUCCUAGCUGCAGAUAUAGCUGGAAAAUGACUGUCAGACGGAAUACAAUAAGGAGUUGCUGGAAAGGAGCCAUUGCUGUGCCUUGUUACAGAUUCAGAGCAAAAGUUUUCAAGGAGUAUUCAUCUGGCAUUCCUACAACUGCAGUGUGUGGCACUCCUGAAAAGUGUUUAGAGGAAGGUAUUUGCCCCACUUCACUUUUAAAAGCAAAUAUUGACCAGUGAGUUAAAGCUAGUGUAAGCAAAAGAAACCAAUAGAGGGUGUUAGUUUUGCUGUGUUGAAACAGAAUCACAAAGUCCCUUUGCUUAGUCAGAGUAAUUAAAACUCAGUAAGUCAAACAAAGUACAAUGAAGAGUAAAAAGAGCUGUUAACUUGUCAGUGAUUUGAUUAAUUUGUUUUAAGAACUAGAAAUAAAGCUGAGAAUCCACUUAGAAAGUCAGACAUUUAAUUGCUCAAAAAAAAAACCCAGCUGUUAAAGCAAUCAUGAAAUGCAUGCAUCCUGUGAAGGACUCUAAUUCUAAUUGCUGUGUGUAUAACUCCAGCUCUGAGUGUGAGAGAACUUCAAAUGAAAGCAGUGCCUCUAAGUGGAGUGUAGAAAGGGAUCCAGAGUUAUCAUCUGUAUCUGUUUCCUUGCUGAUGCCUCUCACAGUGGUGAAAUUGCUCUCUGACUGUUGCAUGUCUGCAG